UAGAAUUCCACGUGUAGCGGUGAAAUGCGUAGAGAUGUGGAGGAAUACCGGUGGCGAAGGCGGCCUUCUGGACAGAUACUGACGCUGAGAUGCGAAAGCGUGGGGAGCAAACAGGAUUAGAUACCCUGGUAGUCCACGCUGUAAACGAUGUCGAUUUGGAGUUUGUUGCCUAGAGUGAUGGGCUCCGAAGCUAACGCGAUAAAUCGACCGCCUGGGGAGUACGGCCGCAAGGUUAAAACUCAAAUGAAUUGACGGGGGCCCGCACAAGCGGUGGAGCAUGUGGUUUAAUUCGAUGCAACGCGAAGAACCUUACCUGGUCUUGACAUCCACAGAAUCUUGCAGAGAUGUGAGAGUGCCUUCGGGAACUGUGAGACAGGUGCUGCAUGGCUGUCGUCAGCUCGUGUUGUGAAAUGUUGGGUUAAGUCCCGCAACGAGCGCAACCCUUAUCCUUUGUUGCCAUCGGUUAGGCCGGGAACUCAAAGGAGACUGCUGUUGAUAAAGCGGAGGAAGGUGGGGACGACGUCAAGUCAUCAUGGCCCUUACGACCAGGGCUACACACGUGCUACAAUGGCGUAUACAAAGGGAGGCGACCUCGCGAGAGCAAGCGGACCUCAUAAAGUACGUCUAAGUCCGGAUUGGAGUCUGCAACUCGACUCCAUGAAGUCGGAAUCGAUAGUAAUCGUGAAUCAGAAUGU
rnacentral:rRNA from 1 species